rnacentral:rRNA from 1 species
GAUGAACGCUGGCGGCGUGCCUAAUACAUGCAAGUCGAGCGAAUGGAUUAAGAGCUUGCUCUUAUGAAGUUAGCGGCGGACGGGUGAGUAACACGUGGGUAACCUGCCCAUAAGACUGGGAUAACUCCGGGAAACCGGGGCUAAUACCGGAUAACAUUUUGAACAGCAUGGUUCGAAAUUGAACGGCGGCUGCGGCUGUCACUUAUGGAUGGACCCGCGUCGCAUUAGCUAGUUGGUGAGGUAACGGCGCACCAAGGCAACGAUGCGUAGCCGACCUGAGAGGGUGAUCGGCCACACUGGGACUGAGACACGGCCCAGACUCCUACGGGAGGCAGCAGUAGGGAAUCUUCCGCAAUGGACGAAAGUCUGACGGAGCAACGCCGCGUGAGUGAUGAAGGCUUUCGGGUCGUAAAACUCUGUUGUUAGGGAAGAACAAGUGCUAGUUGAAUAAGCUGGCACCUUGACGGUACCUAACCAGAAAGCCACGGCUAACUACGUGCCAGCCGCCGCAGUAA